UACGGGGGGUGCAAGCGUUAUCCGGAAUCAUUGGGCGUAAAGCGCCUGUAGGUGGUUUAAAAAGUCUGUUGUUAAAGACUAGGGCUUAACCCUAGAAAAGCAAUAGAAACUUUUAGACUAGAGUAUGGCAGGGGUAGAGGGAAUUUCUAGUGUAGCGGUGAAAUGCGUAGAUAUUAGAAAGAACACCGGUGGCGAAAGCGCUCUACUGGACCAUUACUGACACUCAGAGGCGAGAGCUAGGGUAGCAAAAGGG
rnacentral:rRNA from 1 species